UACGUUCCCGGGCCUUGUACACACCGCCCGUCAAGCCAUGGAAGCUGGAAAGUGCCUGAAGUGCGUAACCGCAAGGAGCGUCCCUAGGGUAAAAGUCGGUAACUGGGGCU
rnacentral:rRNA from 1 species